AUUGAACGCUGGCGGCAUGCUUUACACAUGCAAGUCGAACGGUAACAGGGUGCUUGCACCGCUGACGAGUGGCGAACGGGUGAGUAAUGCAUCGGAAUGUACCGUGUAAUGGGGGAUAGCUCGGCGAAAGCCGGAUUAAUACCGCAUACGCCCUGAGGGGGAAAGUGGGGGACCGAAAGGCCUCACGUUAUACGAGCAGCCGAUGUCUGAUUAGCUAGUUGGUGAGGUAAAGGCUCACCAAGGCGUCGAUCAGUAGCGGGUCUGAGAGGAUGAUCCGCCACACUGGGACUGAGACACGGCCCAGACUCCUACGGGAGGCAGCAGUGGGGAAUUUUGGACCAUGGGCGCAAGCCUGAUCCAGCCAUGCCGCGUGUAUGAAGAAGGCCUUCGGGUUGUAAAGGACUUUUGUCCGGGAGCAAAUCCUAGUGGUUAAUACCUACUGGGGCUGAGGGUACCGGAAGAAUAAGCACCGGCUAACUACGUG
rnacentral:rRNA from 1 species